GCAAGUCGAACGAGAAGAUACCGGUAUUUAUAUUGGUUGAUUCUAGUGGCGCACGGGUGAGUAACACGUGAACGACAUACCCUGGAGUGGGGGAUAGCCCGCCGAAAGGCGGAUUAAUACCCCAUGGUUUCCUUCGGGAUAAAGAUGGCCUUCGGGCUGUUGGUACGAGAUUGGUACGCGCCCUAUCAGCUUGUUGGUGAGGUAAAGGCUCACCAAGGCAACGACGGGUACGUGGUUUGAGAGGAUGAUC
rnacentral:rRNA from 1 species